GCAAUGGACGAAAGUCUGACUGGAGCAACGCCGCGUGAGUGAAGAAGGUUUUCGGAUCGUAAAACUCUGUUGUUAGGGAAGAACAGAGUGCCGGUCGAAUAGGGCGGCACCUUGACGGUACCUAACCAGAAAGCCACGGUUAACUACGUGCCAGCAGCCGCGGUAAUAAA
rnacentral:rRNA from 1 species